rnacentral:lncRNA from 1 species
UUUUGGACCAAAAUAGUCAUGCGCGUACUUCACGGCUUGAUGCCGUAUUGGCUGCAAUCACGGCCUCUAACGAUAAUAUUGCCCGAAUAGGGCAAUUAUUAACUCGUAAUCAGCAACCGCUAGCAGGCUUACAGGCGCCUGCGAUGGCACCGGUAUUACAAAACCCUGUAACACCGGUAAAUGUACAGCCCUAAUACCAGGGGGCACCAUAUCAGGCAGCCUAUAGAUCGGCUGUCGGUAAUACUGGUCUACAGCUAGAGAUAGCCUGGGGGUUACCACCACCUCCACCAGUAGCAGCAUACCAGCCUCAAAAUGUAGGGGCUAGGGGGUAGGCUCCAAUCAACUCUAACUCUUUAGAGUUAUCAUAAUACCCAAUCAUGAUACUUUCGCUCACAAGUCGAAUAGACCUCGUCUCUCACGAGCCUAUUUUCUAUAGUCCAACCGGCCUAAGGUUUGCUAGGUCCACUAAGACUCAACCCUAGACUCUGAUACCAAAUUAAUCUGUCACGCCCCGGGAUCCAGCGGAAGCCCGCGCGGCGCGUGCCCAGACCCGCCAUACGUCUAAAACAUAUAAGGCGUCUAAAAAAAAAUAAUAAUAAAGCGGUAAUACAAGACAACUAGGAGUAUCAGAGCAUGAUAUAAUAUUAAGUUCUACAAUAAAGAAAGGAGCAUAAAACUGGAAUCCACUAAUAAAAGUAUAAGGUAAUACAAAGGAAAUCCCAAAUACAAGUGCCAAAGGUAGAUACAUAGGUGGUCUCUAUACAUGGAUACAAAAUCUCUCACUCUCUCUCAACUACAAAAAGAAAGAGCAAACCACCUAGGCAAGAACCGCUCAUCGCUAGCUAGCUAUGCGAUCCUCUUGCCGUGAUCCCAUGCCUCCGCCGGUGCAGAAGGCUCUGAAAGAAAAUCAGAAAACGGGGGCGUGAGAACUAUUAAAAAUAGUUCCCAGUGGGCAAUUACUGACUUCAGUGAACUGCGCCACAAGGCCCAAAAGAUACGAAAAGAGGUCAGUGACUAACAAUGCAGUAAAGCAAAAGGUAAGUAAAAUGUUACUUACUAUGACAUAGAGUCUCUACUUGGCAUGAUUUGCGUAAAUAAUAAAGCAACGAUAUCAUGAAUGUACAUGGAUGUGUAUGACAUGCAUAAGCAUAGAAAUGCAACCAAUCCGAUGUCCUCGAUGCAAAAAUAGUAAAGAUGUCAUUGUUUACUAUUCUAGUCCAAGUCCACUUUAAUAGUUUUAAAGUUCACAUAACAUGUUCUGUCAUUAAGUCCCAAUCAUAUAAGACCCACCCGAAGGCUGUCUGGCCUGCGCCGUGCCUAAUGGCCCCGUGGUAGUCAACAUCCCCACUCUAGGGAUGAGCACCCCCACGGCAAUCCACUUCGGCGCCGAAUCCCGCACGGGCGAGCAUAUGUCGCGAUGGCUAUCUCCGGAGUGCCAGCUUGUAGGGAGCGACCCUCACAAGCAUGUGCGAAUGAGCACAAUGGCAAGCAAGCAAUGAUCUGUCUCAAGUACCAAGUCCUUAUGUCUAAAACAUGGAAUAUAUCAAGUAUCUUAAUAGCCUAUCUCUACAUCAUCAUGUCUCUAACAUGGAAUAUAGCAGAUGUACAAUGGCCUAUCAUCAUGUCUCUAAGUUGCAUUUUCAUAGUUUACUAAUUCUAAGUGCCCCUUUAUGACACUUUUGUUCAACGAGUCCCAAGUAUGGCAUUAAUAUAUUUUUGAUGCAUAGUUCACUCAAUUCUAGCAUGGAGACAUGUUCUAAACUUGCAAAACCAAGCACUAUCCACAAUGCAUGCAAUCUACACAUAUAACUCUACUAUAUGGAGUACAAAUUUUUCGAUACAUGAGGCAUGCAUGUUAAGUGUUCUAAAAUUCACAUAAAUCAUGUUUAGCAUGAAUUUGCAUUCAAGAAUACUUUACGAAAAGUUUAAAAGGCAUAGGGGCCAUUUUGCCCCAUUUUCAUGAAGUCAAACCCACCAAAAUCGACUUAUUCGUUUCGCCGAACGAAAGUAUCCACAAGCUUCCUAGUACUCUAGAAACAUCAAAAAUAGGGUCACCCAAACGAAACGAAGAGGAAAUAGCUCAAUCAUUAAGCUUCUCAAGCUAGGGUUGGAGAAAACUUACCGAUUGCGAAGGAGACUCUCACGAUCUCCAAAUGGGAGUUAGAGUCCUUCCAAUCUAACCUAAACAAAGGUUCUAAACCCAUCAAUUAGGUUUUAAAGCCCUCAAAUCAAAAAUCCCCAUUUCUAUCCCUCAAAUCAAAAAUUAACCUUCAAAACUUAAUCAAAAUGGGAGAUUAAGUUUACUAACCUCACAAGAUGCUCAAAACUAAGCUCCAAGUCCUCUAGGGUUGAAGGUUGAUCUCUAAACAAGCUCGAACCAAGAUCCCAAGCUUCUCCAAUGGUGGAAAAACCCACAAAAGCAAGAAGGAGAGAAGGGAAAGAGAUCAAAACCCAUAAAAACCACCAAAAAUGGAGAUCAAACCAAGAGGGGGAGACUCACCUUGUUUCUCUCUGUUUGGAGCUCAAGGAGAGCAGCCAAAGGGGCUGGGGUGGUAUAUAAAGGUGUUGUAACAAUUGCAAAAACACCCCUCCACGAAACAGCCCCAAUCUGCACUGUGUACCGGUACACGGGAUUGUGUACCGGUACACCACCCACGAAAACGCAAACCCGAGCCUCGGGUUUGGCCGAAAAGCCGUCUGUGUACCGGUACGCGGGCCCGUACCGGUACAGCCAUCAACCCCGUACCGGUACAGCCACCAAGCCCGUAUCGGUACACAGCCUGCUGUAGGCUAUCCGAGAGCUGACCAAAAAUCCAACUUUUUGGAUUUUGAUGCAAGGUUUUAAAGCACAAUUCUUGGGGCUCGAACCAUAGGUCGGAACACUGUCAACGACCCACCAGAAAGUCUGGAAAAGCUCAGAACACAAUCAAUCACUCGAACCCCGCAAUUUGCAAGGUCCAGUGUGUUACAUCACUACAACAUCAUAAAAGCGCAAGUUAAUAAAACCCACGCCAUCGCAACCGAGCUCAAAGAGAAUAAUAACCCAAAUCAUGCGAAAAUAAUGAAGUGUUCUUUACUACUAACGCCCGAUGUUACAUUGUCGGUCGCCAACGUAACCCUCCAUGAAGUUAGAAGAUAUACACUUCGAUUAAACUCCAACCUUUUAGAGUUUAUAUAAUACACAAUCAUGAUACUUUCGCUUAUAAGUCAAAUAGACUCCGUCUCUCAUGAGCCUAUUUUCUAUAGUCCAAUCGGCCUAAAGUUUGCUAGGUCCACUAAGACUCAACCCUGGACUCUGAUACCAAAAAUAAUCUGUCACGCCCUGGGACCCAACAGAAGCCCGCCCGGUGCGUGUCCAGACCCGUCAUAUGCCUACACAUAUAAGGCGUUUAGAGCAAUAGUAUACGAAAGCAAGGAAACAAAACAUCUAGAGAUAUUAGAGCAUAAAUAAAGCUAGAAUCUAACCACGAGAAAUAAGUAACUAGACUAGAAGAUCAUCAUUCCCAAAGUUAGAUAAAUACAUCAAGAACCAUAAAUAGCACUAGAUACAUAAGGUGGUAGUCUCUACAAAAGGGGUACAAAACUCUCAUUCUCUCCAACCAAAACAAAAGGAGAAAAUGAACCACCUAAAGCAAGACUCCUCGCUAGCUAUCACGAAGCGACACCCUUGCCGCGGUCCCAAGUCUCUCCCGGCAUGGAAGGCUCUGAAAUAAACAACAAACAGAGGGCGUGAGAACUAUUAAACAAUAGUUCCCAGUGGGCAAACCGCUGACCUCAGGAAAAAUACUCCACUACGCUAAAGAGGUAUACGAACUAUAAUAAACAACAUAUAAGGAAAUACAACAAUUAAUUUCGCUAAGUUAGGAUGUCGCAAAUUUAGCAUGAUAUGAACAUGAAAAGUUGCUAAUCUAUCAUAAUCGAUUAUAUCCAAGGAUACACUAGUAUGUUCUAAACAUGAUCAUCAUAAUUGUAAAUAUGCACCAAGUAUAGUCCAUCAAUAUACCACUAAGUCCAACUAGUGUAAUAAUAUGCCCAAACAAUACCUACUAUCAAGUAGUGAAUGUCACUUAGUUGUUACAUUGUCAUAUUCCAUUUCCAAUCUAGGACUUACACAAGUGUAGUCCAGCUUGUGCCGCUUAAUGGCCCCGGGUAGUCCAGCAUUUCUCUAGGAAUGUGACUGUCCCACGGUGACCCAGUAGGCCCUCAAUCCCGCACGGGCGAGCAUAAGUCGCGUAGGCCAACUCCGAAGUGCCGGCUUGUAGGGAGCGACCCUCACAAGCAUGUGCGAAUGAGCACAAAUGGCAAGCAAGCGUAAUCAUGAACUCAAGUACUCUGUCAUCAUGUCACAACAUGGUAUAACACUAGCAUCCCUAAAGGUCUAGUUCUAUGUCAUGAGGUAAAGGAUCAACCAUUUACUAUCUAAUGCCACUUUAUGACAUUAUAAAUUUACCAAGCCCAAACAUAUUCCAAGCUCAAUGCCCCUUUAUGACAUUGUAGCUCACUAAGUCCAUGCAUACCCCAAGUACAAUGCCACUUUAUGGCAUUAUAAUUCUACUAUAUUUAACAUAUGUCCAUUGUUCAUGAGCAACUAAUUGCAUGUCAUUCAUCUACAUAUAACAUGGUUCCAACACAUCAUGAGGAUUUUAUAUACUAGCAUGAGCAUUUUGCACCUAUUUCUCUACUACAUAGAGACGAAAUCUCAUGAUACAUAACAUAUGCAUUUUAAUCGUUCUAAAAUUCAUUUGUGCCCUAUCUAGUAUGAAUAUGCAUGAAUUUCUAUUUUACGACAAAAAAUAAAGUAUAGGGGGAGUUCACCCAUUUCGGUGAGGUCAAAUCCACCAAGAGCUCCUUGCAACUCUUUCGUUUGCGCGAACGAAGGUGUCCACGAGUCUUCUAGCUUCCUGAAGUAAUUUCUAAGAGAGUUAGACAAAGCAAACGAACACCCGAAGUGUUCAUCUCAAAUCAACCAAAGCAUAGGGCAAAACUCACCUAAAUGUGGAAAAAUCCUCUCAAAUUCCAAAUGGAAGCUAGAGCCCUUCAAAUCUACCCCAACGAGAUAUUCUACGCCUAUCAAAUAAGCACCAAGAGCUACAAAUCAAAAAUCCCCAAAAUAAAUCCUAGUUUUCUCAUUCUAGGGUUUCAACAUGAAAAAUCGACAAAAACAUGGAUUAAAUGAGGGAAACAUGAUACUAACCUCUUUAGAAGCUCCAAACAAGGUUAGAAAUCAACUAGGGUUGAAGAUCUCUCCUCCAACAAGCUUCAAUCCAAGCUCCAAGACUUCUCUCAUGGUGAAAAUAGCACCAAGAAGCAAAAAGAAGCAAAAGGAGAUGAUUAAACUUCAAAAGUUCCAACUAAAAUGGAAGAAAUCCAAAGAGGAGGUGAGGAGGGCUCCCUUACCUUUCUCUUCUGUGUUGCCAAGCUCAGGGAACCUCCAAGGGGCGUGGGGUAACAUAUAGUGUUGCUACAAAUGCAAAAACACCCCUAAAAAAAUGAGCAGUUCGCAGUCUGCACUGCGUACCGGUACACGGAAAAGAGUACUGGUACCAAGCAGUAGUUUGCGCCAACCCGAGCCUCGGGUUCGUAGAAAAAUACACUGGGUACCGGUACCAGCCCGAUGCUAUACCGGUACCACCUCCAAUUCAGGUACGGGCCCGAUGCUGUACCGGUACAGCUCUACAGAGUCCAACCCGAGAGCAGCCUAAAUAUUCAUUUUAGAGAUUUUAGUACUAAGUUGUAAACCUUGAUUCUCGGGAUGCGAGCCAUAGGUCGGAACACUGUCAACGACCCUCUAGAAUAUCUGAAAAAACUCGAAAUACAGAUUAAACACUCGAACCUUACAAUUUGCUAAAUUUCAGUGUGUUACAGGCCAAGUUCGCCUUCAGGUCCAGAAGAACCUUAAGCUCCACCACACUGUUGGGGUUGUAAGUCAUGGACAGAAUGGCACUAUGAGGGUGGAGACCAAGGAUCGCUGGGGGUUAGGUUGAAUGGCCCCACCCGAAAAAGAAAAGUUUUAGGAACUAGAGACCAAAACACAUAGAGCCGCACUAAUGAGGAAGUUGUCAGCUUGAGGAGUCCUCAAGAGUUGGAUAGUUUCGUAAAUCCAAACUUUGCGCCACAGAUUGGCGUAAGAACCCUCGACUCGGUCCAGCCAUGCUAGAUAUGUGUCAAAAACUUGGGCCAUGUAUGAAGGCUCUUUACCGACGACUUCAAUGCAGAUUAGGAAUGAAGGUAAAUAUAUAACAUCAUUCGUCAAGGAAAGCCUUCCCAUAGAGAAGGGAAAGACUUUGUCCUCAGUAGCCCUACAAAGAAAAGGCCGAGGAUGAAACAAGAAGGAUCGACCUUAAAUGGCUUAAGAAUACUAAAGCUAACAUUAGAAGAUGAGAGAAGAAGAGAAAUCCGAGCCAUUGAAAGGAAAAUAUCCUGGGAGAAGUGAAGAAGGAGAGUCGAAGAGGAGAAAUCGCGAAAAAAAAAGGAGAAAGGAGGUGUUGGAGUGUAACGCACUGGACCUUGCAAAUUGCGGGUUUCGAGUGAUUGAUUGUGUUCUGAGCUUUUCCAGACUUUCUGGUGGGUCGUUGACAGUAUUCCGACCUAUGGUUCGAGUCCCGAGAUGUCACGCCCGGGGGCUCAGCGGAAGCCUACCUGGCGAGUGUCCAGACCCGCCAUACGUCUAAAACAUAUAAGGCGUCUACAAAAAUUUCGAUAGAUAAAACAGUAAUACAAGAGAUCUAGUGAUAUCAGAGGAUUGUAUAACUAGUUCUAUAACAAGGAAAGGACACAAAGCUGAAAGUCCACUAAAUAAAAACAUAAAGUAAGUACAAUAGAGAUCCCAUAACAAGUGCUAAAAGGAGUACAAGGUGGUCUCUCUAUACAUGGUACAAAACCCCUCCCACUCUCACAAAAUAUAAAAUGAAGGGGUAACCACCUAGCGCAAAAGAACUCUCCGCGAGCUAGCUACGCGACACCCUUGCCGCGAUCCCGUGCCUCCGCCGGUGCCGAAGGCUCUGAAAAGGAAACAUAGAAACAGGGGCGUGAGAACUAUUAAAAAUAGUUCUCAGUGGGCAAUUACUGACUUCAGUGAAAUGCACCACUAGGCCCGAAACUAAAGAAAAAGGGUCAGUGUACAAACAACAAAAGCGAUAAAUACACUGUAAGUAAAUAAAUAAACGACUACCCAAUAGUUAUGAUACCUCUACUUAGCAUAAUUUACAUAAGUAAGGAAGCAACUACUAGCUAUAUGCACAUGAACACCGAACAUAUAAAGCAUGAUUAUGCAACUACCCAAAGCCCACAAUGUAAUAGUAAAGAUGUCAUUGUUUAUUAUUCUAGUCCAAGUCCACUUUAACAGUUAUAAGGUUCACAUAGCAUAUUCUGUCACCAAGUCCCAAUCAUAUAAGACCCACCCGAAGGCUGUCUGGCCUGCGCCGUGCCUAAUGGCCCCGUGGUAGUCAACAUCCCCACUCUAGGGAUGAGCCUCCCCCACGGCAAUCCACUUUGGCGCCCAAUCCUGCACGGGCGAGCAUAUGUCGCGAUGGCUAUCUCCGGAGUGCCGGCUUGUAGGGAGCGUCCCUCACAAGCAUGUGCGAAUGAGCACAAUGGCAAGCAAGCAAUGAUCCGUCUCAAGAACCAAGUCCUCAUGUCUAACAACAUGGAAUAUAUCAAGUAUCUCAAUAGCCUAUCUCUAUGUUAUCAUGUCUCUAACAUGGAAUGUAGCAGAUAUGUAGUGGCCUAUCAAUAUGUCUCUAUAUUGCAGUUUAAUAGUUUACUAGUUUCAAGUGCCCCUUGAUGACACUUUUGUUCAACAAGUUCCAAGCAUGGUAUUAAUAUGUUCAUGAUGCAUAAUUCACUCAACUCUAGCAUGGGGACAUGUUCUCAACUUGCAAAACCAAGCACUAUCCAUAAUGCAUGCAAUUUACACAUAUAGCUCUACUAUAUGGAGUACAAAUUUUACGAUAUAUGAGGCAUGCAUGUUAAGUGUUCUAAAAUUCACAUAAAUCAUAUUUAGCAUGAAUUUGCAUUCAAAAAUACUUUACGAAAGGUUUAGAAGGCAUAGGGGCCAUUUUGCCCUAUUUUCAUGAAGUCAAACCCACCGAUGACAACGAAACUCCUCGUUCGCUCCCACGAGGGUAUCCUCUAGUCUCCUAGUACCCUAGAGAUAUAGAAACAUGUGUCAUGUGAGCCAAACGAACAAUACCUAGCUCGAUCAUUAAGCUAAUCAAGCAUAGGUGAGGAAAACUCACCUCUAGUGCAAAAAUCUCCUCUAAAGCUCCAAAAGAGAGCUAGAGCCCUUCCCAACCAAAUGGAAGCCUCUAAUCCUCUCAAACUAGCUUCAAAAGCCCUAGAUUCAAAAUGCCCAAUUAAACCCUAAAAACCUCAUUCUAGGGUUUCAACACAAAGAAGCCAAUAAAAAUCUAAUCUAGAGGGAGAUAACAAGUUGCUUACCUCUUAGAAGCUUCAAACCAAGCUCUAAAUGCUCUAUGUCCAAAGAACUCACCUCAAACAAGCCUCAAACCCAAGCUCCUAGCUCCAACAUUGGGGGAGAAGUCUCUAGCCAAGCAAAAAGGGAGUUUAAUCUCUUAAAACCCCAACCAAAAUCAAAGAAAUCACAAAGGAAGGUGUGGAGGGCUUCCUCACCUUUCUCCCUGCAGGUUCCAAGCUCAGGGGAUGCCCUAGGGGUGUGGGGUUACUAAUAGAAGGCUACAAACGCGAAAAACCCCCUGCAGUUCCAUUCUGCGCAAAACUGCCUCCUUGUACCGGUACACGGGCUCUUGUACCGGUACAAGGCGACGAAAUUGCAAACUCGAGGCUCGGGUUGCGGGGUCUGCGGCUCUGUACCGGUACAAGCCCGAUGGCUGUACCGGUACAACCAUCAACCUUGUACCGGUAUAAGACCAGCCUUGUUCCGGUACAAGCUCUGCUGCAGGCUAACCCGAGAGCUGUCCAAUGAAUCCAAUUUUUGGAUUUUGGUACCAAGCUUUAAACCACAAUUCUCGGGACUCGAACCAUAGGUCGGAACACUGUCAACGACCGACCAGAAAGUCUAGAAAAGUUCAGAACACCGUCAAUAACUCGAACCCCACAAUUUGCGAGGUCCAGUGCGUCACACGAGAAUUGUGGUUUAAAGCUGUGUACCAAAAUCUAAAAAGUUGGAUUUUUGGUUAGCCCUCGGGUAGCCUUCAGCAGGCUGUGUACCGGUACGGGCUUGGUGGCUGUACCGGUACGGGGUUGAUGGCUGUACCGGUACGGGCCCGCGUACUGGUAAACAGACGGCUUUUCGUCCAAACCCGAGGCUCGGGUUUGCGUUUUCGUGGGUGGUAUACCGGUACACAAUCCCGUGUACCGGUACACAGUGCAGAUUGGGGCUGUUUCGUGGAGGGGUGUUUUUGCAAUUGUUGCAACACCUAUAUAAGUGACCCCAGCCCCCUUAGGCUGGGUUUUGAGCCCUAGUUCUGUGGAGACAAGGUGAGACUCUCCCCCUUUGAGUUUUCUCUCCAUUUUUGAUGGAUUUUGGUAGGUUUUGAUCUCUCCUCUCCUCUCCACCUUGCUUUUUGUUGCGUUUCCUCCAUUGUUGAAGGCUUGGAGCUUGGAGAGGAGCUUGUUUGAGAGGAGAUCUUCAACUCCACUUGGCAUGGAGCUUGGUUUGGGACAUCUUGUGAGGUGAGUACUCAUGAUCUCUCCUUUAGAGCUUGUUUUGGUAGUUUUCCUCUUUGGAAACCCUAGAUUUUGGAUUCAAGGGCUAGGAUUAGGGAUUUUUGAUUUGAGGGCUUUGGAACCAAAUUGAUGGGUUUAGAACCUUUGUUUAUGUUUGAUUGGAAGGACUCUAGCUCCCAUUUGGAGAUUGAGGGAGCUUCCUUCGCAAUCGGUGAGUUUUCUUCAACCCUAGCCCGAUUUGGUUAAUGAUUGAGCAAUCCGUUGUUCGUUUCGUUUGGGUAACACUUGUUCCUACAUCCUUAGGGUACUAGGAGGCUAGUGGACACUUUCGUUCGGCGAAACGAAAAGUUCGAAAAAUCAGUAGGUUUGACUUCGUGGAAAAAGGGGCAAAAUGGCCCCUAUGCUCUCUAUACUUGUUGUAAAGUAUUUUUAAAUGCAUUUCUAUGCUAAUUGGAAUUUAUGUGAAGUUUAGAACACUUAAAAUGCAUGUCUUAUGUGUAAGUUAAAUUUCACUCUAUAUAGUAGAGUAAUCAGGGUUAUUUGCAUGCAUGUGAGGGGUGUUCAGGUGGACGAACGGGAUUCUCGUCUAGUAUACUAAUUUAGCUCAUACUCGUGUAUUGAAAACAUUAUACUAUGUUUGGACUUAGUAGCACAAGUGUCAUCAAGAGGCACUUAAACUAGUAAACUAUGAAACUGCAACAUAGAGACAUAACGCUAGGCCAUUGUACAUCUGCUAUAUUCCAUGUUAGAGACAUGAUGUCAUAGAGAUAGGCCUUUGGGACAUUCGAUACAUUCCAUGUUAUUAGACAUGAGGACUUGAUACUUAUGACAGGACAUAUGACUACUUGCCAUUGUGCUCAUUCGCACAUGCUUGUGAGGGUCGCUCCCUACAAGCCGGCACUCCGGAGAUAGCCAUCGCGAUUCGUAUUCGCCGUGCGGGAUUGGGCGCCGAAAUGGAUUGCCGUGGGCCAGGCUCAUUCCUAGGGUGGGGAUGAUGACUACCACGGGGCCAUUAGGCUCGGCAUCGGCCAGACAGCCUACGGGUGGGUCUCAGGGCCAUAGACAGCCUUCGGGUGGAUCUCUUCAGAAUUGACUUUGAGUGUUCACUACGACAUGUGGACGGAUGAUGACUUAGUAUAUGGACUAGAACAGUAAACAAAGACAUCUUCACUAUUUACUUGAGGACAUUGUAUGGGUUGCAUAUUUAUGCUUAUUUAUGUUAUACACAUCCAUGUACAUUCAUGUUAUAGUUGAUUUAUUACUUAUGCAAAUCAUGCUAAGUAGAGACAUUAUGCUAUAAUGAGUUACAUUUUUACUUACCUUCUUCCUUACUACAUUCUGUCACUGACCACUUUCCUUGUAGCUUUGGGCCUUGUGGUGCAUUCACUGAAGUCAGUAAUUGCCCACUGGGAACUAUUUUUAAUAGUUCUCACGCCCUCUUUUCGUGGUUUCUUUCAGAGCCUUCUGCAUCGGCGGAGGCACGGGAUCGCGGCAAGGGGAUCGCAUAGCUAGCUAGCGAGGAGCGGUUAUUUGCCUAGGUGGUUACUCUUUCUUUUUAUAGUUGUGAGAGUGAGAGUUUUUGUAUCCAUGUAUAGAGACCACCUAUGUAUCUACUCUUAGCACUUGUAUUUGGGAUUUUCUUUGUAUUACUUUAUGCUUUUAUUAGUGGAUUACAGCUUGUGUUCCUUUCUCUAUUGUAGAACUUAACAUUAUAUCAUGCUCUGAUACUCCUAGAUGUCUUUUAAUUCUGCUUUUAUUAUCGUUGCUUUUAGACGCCUUAUAUGUUUUAGACAUAUGGCGGGUCUGGGCACGUGCCGGGCGGGCUUCCGCUGGGUCCCGGGGCGUGACAGAUUAAUUUGGUAUCAGAGCCUAGGGUUGAGUCUUAGGGGACCUAGGAAAUCUUAGGCCGGUUGGACUAUAGGAAAUAGGCUCGUGAGAGACGAGGUCUAUUUGAUUUGCGAAGCAAAAGUACCAUGAUUGGGUAUCUUGAUAACUCUAAAAAGUUAGAGUUGGAUCGAAGUGUAUGGCUUCUAACUUCGCGCAGGGUUACGUUGGCGGCCGACAACGUAACUUCGGGAGUUAGUAGUGUAGAACACUUCUUUACUUUCGCAGGAUUUGGGUAUUGUUUAUUGAGCGGGGAUGCGAUAGCGCGGGUUUUACUAACUUGCGCUUUCAUGUUUUGUAGUGACGAUGCCGAUUACACGCUCUCAAUCUGCCGUAGCGGACAAUGCGGCGAACUUUGAGGAGGUCGAGACCUCCGCUACCUCCGGAUCCAGCGAGGUCCGUGAGUUGAGGGGCCAGCUUGCGGCCCUCACUGAUUUACUCACUCAGCAGGCGGAGGCGGCCCGACAGCAGACUGAGGCGCCGCGCCGACAGGAGGCGCGGAUGAAGCGCCUGGAGGACCUUUUACUGCAACAGGCAGUAGCUUCUAGGGAGACUCUGGCCCCUACACCGCCAGCACCAGUUGUGGACGUCGCACCGAGAGCGCCGUCCUCCGCGCCCAGUUCUUCGCGUGCAGCGCCUGCGGCCGCGCCCCGGGAGGAGGUUUUGGCGCCACCACCUGUGCAGAGGCCCCUGGUUGGAGCUGCAUUCCCUACCUUGGUUGAGGGGGCGGAGCGAGACAGACUGAUGGAGCGCCUCAAUGAGUUCAGGAGGUGCAGUCCCCGAGUCUUCGACGGCGAGAAGGUCGACCACUGGAUCGUGGAGAAGUGGUUGAUGCAUACGGAGAAGCUCUUCCGCGACACCUUCGUGGAGGAGAGGGAUCGAGUUUGGCUCGCCACUCACCACUUGGACGGCGAGGCCUACCGCUGUUGGUUGGAUCUUCAGGAGUACCCCAGCACUGACUUGGCGGCUAUCACUUGGACGAGGUUCAAGGAGCUUCUUUUGGCCCAUUACUUUUCGACCAACGUCAAGCGAAAGAUGGAGCAAGAUCUGCGCAACUUGCGCCAGGGCGACCAGACUGUGGCCGAGUACGAGCGGGAGUUUUCUCGGCUUUUGCAUUGCGUGCCUUUCGUCGUGCGGGACGACGAGGACAAGGCCCGCAUUUUCGAGCGAGGACUGAGGCCGUCCAUCUUUCGGUUCGUGCAAUCCUCUAACCUCCAAACCUACCGGGAGGUGGUGGAUCGCGCGCUCAUUGUAGAGAGCGGCGCGGCGGAUGUCCAGGAGCAGCGAGAGGCUAGGGACAGGGGCAAGGCCAAGAGGCCUGCGGCUGAGGGUGUGAGCCAGACGCACUCUAGGAGGCCACCGAAACUUCCGAGGAGCCAGCAGCGUGGAUGCGGCUCAGCAGCGCAUCGAGGAGGAUCCGAUCGUCGCCGGCCUUCCCCGUGUGUGAUCUGCGGUGGUCCUCAUUACCCGCCGCAGUGUCCAUAGUGGGCGGGCAGGUGCUUCCUGUGUGGCUAGGAGGGCCACGUCUGUACUGAGUGCCCGAGAGGUUCUUCACCGGCACCGUCGACUGCAUCGGCACCGGCUCUACCAGCCGUCAACCACGGGACUCCGUCGACACAGUACCAGCCUGGGCGGCCACCCGUCGAGCGCCAGAGCGAGGGAUCCCGAUAGGCCCCGAGUGGGCGCAUGUACGCCGCUCAGACCAAGGAGGCGGCAGCAGCCGAGGAUGUGGUUGCAGGUAUCAUUUUACUUGAUAGCAUUAGAGUUUGUGCUUUAUUUGAUACCGGUGCAUCGCAUUCAUUUAUAGAUCGGCUGUUUGCUGAGUUGCAUGACAUUCCAUUGGUUUCUUAAUUGCAUCCGGGACACUUUGUUGUACCCGACCAUAUUUUGGAUAUUAGAGAGUAUACCCCCAGUUGCCCUGUUCGGGUGGGAGAUUUGAUCAUACCUGUAGAUUUGCUAGCUUUGCGCAAGCUUGGGGAUUUUGAUGUGGUCUUGGGAAUGGAUUGGUUAACCAAGUAUUAUGCCACGAUUGAUUGCAAAAAUCGCACGGUUACUUUUAGAGAACCGGGGCAGACCGAGGUAGUAUUUAGUGGAUGCCGGAGUUCGCUGUUUGCGAUGACGAUCAGCUCGUCUCGAGCUAGGCAGUUGAUCAGCAGAGGUUGUGUAGCCUAUUUGGCUAGUGUUGUGCUGAGGGGCGAGGAUGACACCCCUAGGAUCGAGGAUAUUCCUGUGGUGCGGGAGUUCCAGGAUGUGUUACCAGCUGAGCUACCGGGCAUGCCUCCUGAUAGGGAGAUUGAGUUUGUGGUAGAUCUCGUCCCUGGGACUACCCCAAUCUCAAAGGCACCCUAUAAGAUGGCACCGGCAGAGCUGAGGGAGCUGAGGGCAUAGCUGCAGGAUUUGUUGGACAAAGGCUUCAUACGGCCGAGCGUUUCGCCUUGGGGAGCACCAGUUUUGUUCGUCAAGAAGAAUGACAGAUCACUUCGCCUUUCGUGGAUUAUCGUGAACUGAAUAAGGUCACGAUCAAGAACAAGUAUCCGUUGCCGAGGAUCGACGACUUGUUUGAUCAGCUUCAGGGAUCGUGUGUGUAUUCCAAGAUAGACUUGCAGUCGGGAUACCACCAAUUGAGAAUCAAGCCCGAGGAUGUAUCGAAGACGGCUUUUAGAACACGGUAUGGACAUUACGAGUUCACAGUUAUGCCGUUUGGGCUGACUAAUGGCCCGGCAGCUUUUAUGGAUCUAAUGAACCAUGUUUUCAAGCCUUAUCACGACAGGUUCAUCGUGGUAUUCAUCGACGACAUUUUGGUCUAUUUCCGAAGUGAUGCAGAUCACGAGGAGCAUUUGAGGCUUGUACUCCAAGUACUUCGGGGAAAGGAGCUUUUUGCCAAGCUGAAAAAGUGUGAAUUUUGGCUUCGAGAGGUAGCCUUCCUUAGAUAUUUGAUAUCGGGAUCAGGUAUUGCUGUGGAUCCCAAGAAGAUUGAGGCUAUCCGGGAUUGACCGAGACCGACUAGCGUCACGGAGAUUCGGAGUUUUCUUGGACUGGCCGGCUACUACCGGAGAUUUGUCGAGGGGUUUGCUAAGUUAUCUACUCCCCUCACGAGGCUCACGCAUAAAGGAGUCAAGUUCAUUUGGAAUGAUGCGUGUGAGAGAAGCUUCCAAGAGUUGAAGCAACGUUUGACGACUGCCCCGAUCUUGACCUUACCAGUAGCUGGAGCAGGGUAUGUGGUAUAUAGUGAUGCUUCACUUAAUGGUUUGGGAUGUGUGUUGAUGCAGGAUGGCAGGUGAUCGCGUAUGCUUCUCGCCAACUGAAGGAAUAUGAAAGGAACUACCCGACGCAUGAUUUGGAGCUGGCAGCCGUAGUGUUCUGUCACGACCCGGGACCCAGCGGAAGCCCGCCCGGCGCGUGCCCAGACCCGCCAUAUGUCUUCAACAUAUAAGGCGUCUAAAAACAACAAUAAUAAAAGCAAUAAUAAAAGACAUCUAGGAGUAUCAGAGCAUAAUAAAUGUCUAAAUGCUACAACAAAGGAUGAGGAAAAGCUGUAAAUCCACUAAAUAAGGCAUAAAGUAAAUACAAUAGGAAAUCCCAAAUACAAGUGCUAAGAGUAGAUACAUAGGUGGUCUCUAUACAGGGUACAAAACUCUCACUCUCUCAACUACAAAAGAAAGAGUAAACCACCUAGGCAAGUAAGCUCCUCGCUAGCUAGCUACGCGAUCCCCUUGCCGCGAUCCCGUGCCUCCGCCGGUGCCGAAGGCUCUGAAAAGGAAACCAUAAAACAGGGGCGUGAGAACUAUCAAAAAUAGUUCCCAGUGGGCAAUUACUGACUUCAGUGAAUGCACCACAAGGCCCAAAGCUACAAAAGAGGUUAGUGACUAUAGAUGUAGAAAAGCGAAAGGUAAGUAAAAUGUAACUUACUACAACAUGAUAUCUCUACUUAGCCUAAAUAGCAUAAGUAUGAAAC